GACGAACGCUGGCGGCGUGCCUAACACAUGCAAGUCGAGCGGAGAUACAUUGAAGAGCAAUCAGAUAUGUAUCUUAGCGGCGGACGGGUGAGUAACGCGUGGGCAACCUGCCUCAUACUGGGGGAUAACACAGGGAAACUUGUGCUAAUACCGCAUAAUAUCAUUAUAGGGCAUCCUGUGAUGAUCAAAGGAGCAAUCCGGUGUGAGAUGGGCCCGCGUCCAAUUAGCUAGUUGGUGGGGUAACGGCCCACCAAGGCGACGAUUGGUAGCCGAACUGAGAGGUUGAUCGGCCACAUUGGGACUGAGACACGGCCCAGACUCCUACGGGAGGCAGCAGUGGGGAAUAUUGCGCAAUGGGGGAAACCCUGACGGAGCAACGCCGCGUGGGUGAAGAAGGCCUCGGUUGUAAGCCUGUCUUAUGGACGAGGAGGAGACGGUACCGAUAGGAGGAAGCCACGGCUAACUACGUGCCAGCAGCCGCGGU
rnacentral:rRNA from 1 species